AAUCAAAUGUUGCUAAUGUUCAGGCGUGAUGAAUGUGAAUCAGGUCGCUGAUCCAGUUGAGGAAAUAUGUCAUGUUUCUGAUCUGAUACUUGUUGCAAGAGAUAAAAUUGCUAGUUUCUGCAAUCAUCAUAAUUGAAGCUGUUUUUACUUUACAGAUCUAAUGGGAUCUUGGGCAGUUGGGUGCAGAAGAUGUCACAUAAACAAUGUUCUGAUCGCUCUCUGAGAUCCGACUGAACGGCCAAGAUGAGGUUGACUGAGGAAAAGGCUGCAUCUCUUGGGCUGACCUUGAAAGCAGAUGUAAUGUCAUCUGGCCCUCAGACAGCCUGAUGUUUUACUCUAAAGAUUCUGUGGUAUUAUGGCGACCGGAGUUUGACCUGCAGACAAUUUAAUAUCUCUUGGCAAAUGUGUUUUCAACAUUGUUGCAAUAAAAUACUCAAAACGAAA